CGCCCGCCGCCCGCGGGGGCGCCCCGAGCCCCCAGCCUGUGUCGGGGUGACGUCCCCCGGCCCCGCCGCCCGCCUGCAGGCCGGGCUCUCCCCGCCCGCGACCUGCCCGACCUGACCUUGACCUUGAGCUCGCCCGCCCCGCGCCCCCGCGGUGCCGAGACCCCGAGACCCCCUCGGAGGCCUCCGCCUAGGGACGCGGACACAGGCCCGCGGCCGGGGCGGGGGCGAGGUCGCCGGGGGCGGCCCGGGGCAGGCAGGGCGCUCACCUCCAGCACCACGCGGCCGAGGGGCAGGCCGUCGGCGCCCACGUCCAGGCCUCCUCUCCCCCCUUAGGCCCUGCAGACAGAGAGACCAAGAGAGACGUGAGUGAGAGACAGAGGAGGAGGAGAUGAGAGGGGGAUUAGAGUGACGCCUCCCCUGGCGACCACAGGCCUCCUAGUCCUAGUCUGGCCCUGUCCCCGGAUGCCUCUAGACACCACAUCCUCUUUCCACAUCGCUGGAACUCAGCAGGUGCCCAGCAGGCUCUGGCCAGGCCCCAGCCCUCCACCAGGGGCUGAACUGUGAAGUCAUCCCUACCUGUACUGUCCUCAGCGGCAUCAGGAAGAGGGACAAUCCCUGGGCUGAGCCGUGAACGGAAGCAUGCCCCGCCCUCUGGGACUCGCGGCCCAGGUGAGACUGGCUACCAUGCUGUGACACUCAGGCAGCCUCUGGAGGCCCCGUGGUGAGCCACCAAGGCUGGCUAGCAACUACGUGAGGGAUCUGGAUGUGGAUCAUGUGCAGCCUGCCAACAGCCAUGUGAAGAGGCUUGGAAGCAGAUCCAACAGAUCCAGUGGAGCCUUGGGGUGACUGUCCUUCCAGUCAAUGGCCCUAUUGCAAUUGUGAGAUGUGAGGGCCAGAGGCAUGCAACUAAACCACACCUGGAAUCUGCCCCCCAGAAAGUGAGAAAAUAAAUUUUUGUUCUUUUAAGCCCC